AUGCAAGUCGAACGCAGUAGCAAUACUGAGUGGCAGACGGGUGAGUAUAAUGUGGGAAUAUGCCUUUUGGUUUGGAAUAACUUGGGGAAACUUAAGCUAAUACCGAAUAAGCCCUUACGGGGAAAGAUUCAUCGCCGAAAGAUUAGCCCGCACUUGAUUAGCUUGUUGGUGAGGUAAAAGCUCACCAAGGCAACGAUCAAUAGCUGUUCUUAGAGGAAGACCAGCCACAUUGGGACUGAGACACGGCCCAGACUCCUACGGGAGGCAGCAGUAGGGAAUCUUGCACAAUGGGGGAAACCCUGAUGCAGCGAUGCCGCGUGAGUGAAGAAGGCCUUUGGGUUGUAAAACUCUUUCGUCGGGGAAGAAAAUGACUGUACCCGAAUAAGAAGGUCCGGCUAACUUCGUGCCAGCAGCCGCGGUAAUACGAAGGGAUCUAGCGUAGUUCGGAAUUACUGGGCUUAAAGAGCUCGUAGGUGGUUAAAAAAGUUGGUGGUGAAAUCCCAAGGCUCAACCUUGGAACUGCCAUCAAAACUUUUUAGCUUGAGUGUGAUAGAGGAAAGUGGAAUUUCUAGUGUAGAGGUGAAAUUCGUAGAUAUUAGAAAGAACACCAAAAGCGAAGGCAACUUUCUGGAUCACUACUGACACUGAGGAGCGAAAGCAUGGGUAGCGAAGAGGAUUAGAUACCCUCGUAGUCCAUGCUGUAAACGAUGUGUGCUAGUCGUUGGAAAUUUAUUUUUCAGUGUCGCAGCAAAAGCGUUAAGCACACCGCCUGGGGAGUACGACCGCAAGGUUAAAACUCAAAUGAAUUGACGGGGACCCGCACAAGCAGUGGAGCAUGUGGUUUAAUUCGAAGAUACGCGCAGAACCUUACCAACACUUGACAUGUUCGUCGCGAGACCAAGAGAUUGGUUUCUUCAUUUAGUUGGACGAAACACAGUGCUGCAUGGGCUGUCGUCAGCUCGUGUC
rnacentral:rRNA from 1 species